rnacentral:rRNA from 1 species
GGUUAAAAAGCUCGUAGUUGGAUUUCUGUUGAGGUCGGGCGGUGUACACCUCGUGUAUUAUUUGCUUCGGUCUCGGCAUCCUCUUGGGGAACGUAUCAGGACUUUAUUGGACUGUGCGAGAUUCAAGACUUUUACUUUGAGGAAAUUAGAGUGUUCACGGCAGGCAAGUGCUUUGAAUACAUUAGCAUGGAAUAAUAAUAUAGGACCUUCGUUCUAUUUUGUUGGUUUCUAGAACUUAGGUAAUGAUUAAUAGGGACAAUUGGGGGCAUUCGUAUUAACGCGUCAGAGGUGGAAUUCUUGGAUUGCGUUACGACAAACUACUGCGAAAGCAUUUGCCAAAGAUGUUUUCAUUGAUCAAGAACGAAAGUAUGGGGAUCGAAGACGCUUAGAUACCGUCGUAGUCUAUACCAUAAACUAUGCCAACUAGGGGUUGGACGGGUUAUCCUAUGUGGCUCGUUCAGCACCUUAUGAGAAAUU